UAAACGACUCUCGGCAACGGAUAUCUCGGCUCUCGCAUCGAUGAAGAACGCAGCGAAAUGCGAUACUUGGUGUGAAUUGCAGAAUCCCGUGAACCAUCGAGUCUUUGAACGCAAGUUGCGCCCAAAACCUUCGGGUCGAGGGCACGUCUGCCUGGGUGUCACGC
rnacentral:rRNA from 2 species